AGACCCGAAACCCGGUGAUCUAGCCAUGGGCAGGUUGAAGGUUGGGUAACACUAACUGGAGGACCGAACCGACUAAUGUUGAAAAAUUAGCGGAUGACCUGUGGCUGGGGGUGAAAGGCCAAUCAAACCGGGAGAUAGCUGGUUCUCCCCGAAAGCUAUUUAGGUAGCGCCUCGUGAAUUCAUCUCCGGGGGUAGAGCACUGUUUCGGCUAGGGGGCCAUCCCGGCUUACCAACCCGAUGCAAACUGCGAAUACCGGAGAAUGUUAUCACGGGAGACACACGGCGGGUGCUAACGUCCGUCGUGAAGAGGGAAACAACCCAGACCGCCAGCUAAGGUCCCAAAGUCAUGGUUAAGUGGGAAACGAUGUGGGAAGGCCCAGACAGCCAGGAUGUUGGCUUAGAAGCAGCCAUCAUUUAAAGAAAGCGUAAUAGCUCACUGGUCGAGUCGGCCUGCGCGGAAGAUGUAACGGGGCUAAACCAUGCACCGAAGCUGCGGCAGCGAACGUAUCACCCAAGACAACUUUACGGAGUUGACGAUUGACGGAGCGAAGCGACGUCAAAGCGUUCAUUAAAGUCGAGUUGGCUUAGGGAUACGUUCGUUGGGUAGGGGAGCGUUCUGUAAGCCUGUGAAGGUGUGUCGUGAGGCAUGCUGGAGGUAUCAGAAGUGCGAAUGCUGACAUAAGUAACGAUAAAGCGGGUGAAAAGCCCGCUCGCCGGAAGACCAAGGGUUCCUGUCCAACGUUAAUCGGGGCAGGGUGAGUCGACCCCUAAGGCGAGGCCGAAAGGCGUAGUCGAUGGGAAACGGGUUAAUAUUCCCGUACUUGGUGUUACUGCGAAGGGGGGACGGAGAAGGCUAUGUUGGCCGGGCGACGGUUGUCCCGGUUUAAGCGUGUAGGUGUGUGUUCCAGGUAAAUCCGGUUCACUUUAACACUGAGGCGUGACGACGAGGCACUACGGUGCUGAAG
rnacentral:rRNA from 4 species